rnacentral:rRNA from 1 species
AUUUAAAGAGUGCGUAAUAGCUCACUGGUCGAGUGACUCUGCGCCGAAAAUGUAACGGGGCUAAACACACCACCGAAGCUAUGGCUAGAUGCUUUGCAUCUGGGGUAGGGGAGCGUUGUAUGUAGGUUGAAGGUGUACCGUAAGGAGCGCUGGACAGCAUACAAGUGAGAAUGCCGGUAUGAGUAACGAAAAGAUCAGUGAGAAUCUGAUCCGCCGAAAGCCUAAGGG